ACUCCUACGGGAGGCAGCAGUGGGGAAUAUUGCACAAUGGGGGAAACCCUGAUGCAGCCAUGCCGCGUGUGUGAAGAAGGCCUUCGGGUUGUAAAGCACUUUCAGUAGGGAGGAAGGUAGUGUAGUUAACACCUGCCAUUAUUUGACGUUACCUACAGAAGAAGCACCGGCUAACUCCGUGCCAGCAGCCGCGGUAAUACGGAGGGUGCGAGCGUUAAUCGGAAUUACUGGGCGUAAAGCGCAUGCAGGCGGCCUGUUAAGUCAGAUGUGAAAGCCCGGGGCUUAACCUCGGAAUUGCAUUUGAAACUGGCAGGCUAGAGUCUUGUAGAGGGGGGUAGAAUUCAGGUGUAGCGGUGAAAUGCGUAGAGAUCUGAAGGAAUACCAGUGGCGAAGGCGGCCCCCUGGACAAAGACUGACGCUCAGAUGCGAAA
rnacentral:rRNA from 1 species